rnacentral:rRNA from 1 species
GACGAACGCUGGCGGCGUGCCUAAUACAUGCAAGUCGAGCGAAUCAAUAGGAGCUUGCUCCUGUUGGUUAGCGGCGGACGGGUGAGUAACACGUGGGCAACCUGCCUGUAAGACUGGGAUAACACCGGGAAACCGGUGCUAAUACCGGAUAAUCCUUUUCCUCUCAUGAGGAAAAGCUGAAAGUCGGUUUCGGCUGACACUUACAGAUGGGCCCGCGCCGCAUUAGCUAGUUGGUGAGGUAACGGCUCACCAAGGCGACGAGGCGUAGCCGACCUGAGAGGGUGAUCGGCCACACUGGGACUGAGACACGGCCCAGACUCCUACGGGAGGCAGCAGUAGGGAAUCUUCCACAAUGGACGAAAGUCUGAUGGAGCAACGCCGCGUGAGUGAUGAAGGCCUUCGGGUCGUAAAGCUCUGUUGUUAGGGAAGAACAAGUACCGGAGUAACUGCCGGUACCUUGACGGUACCUAACCAGAAAGCCACGGCUAACUACGUGCCAGCAGCCGCGGUAAGAC